AUUGAACGCUGGCGGCAUGCCUAACACAUGCAAGUCGAGCGGAUGAAGGGAGCUUUCUCCUGGAUUCAGCGGCGGACGGGUGAGUAAUUCCUAGGAAUCUGCCUGGUAGUGGGGGAUAACGUCCGGAAACGGGCGCUAAUACCUCAUACGUCCUGAGGGAGAAAGUGGGGGAUCUUCGGACCUCACGCUCUCAGAUGAUCCUAGGUCGGAUUAGCUAGUUGGUGGGGUAAAGGCCUACCAAGGCGACGAUCCGUAACUGGUCUGAGAGGAUGAUCAGUCACACUGGAACUGAGAAACGGUACAGACUCCUACGGGAGGCAGCAGUGGGGAAUAUUGGACAAUGGGCGAAAGCCUGAUCCAGCCAUGCCGCGUGUGUGAAGAAGGUCUUCGGAUUGUAAAGCACUUUAAGUUGGGAGGAAGGGCAGUAAGUUAAUACCUUGCUGUUUUGACGUUACCAAAAGAAUAAGCACCGGCUAACUUCGUG
rnacentral:rRNA from 1 species